GGCCCCUUAGCUCAGCUGGUUAGAGCGUGGUGCUAAUACGCAAAUUCGGCACGCCAAGGUCAUCGGUUCGAUCCCGAUAGGGGCCA
rfam:Volvox carteri f. nagariensis unplaced genomic scaffold VOLCAscaffold_73, whole genome shotgun sequence.